rnacentral:rRNA from 1 species
GUCAUGGCUAGGCUGCUAGUGAUUACAUCCGCGAGCGGACAGAUGGGAGCUUGCUCCCUGAUGUUAGCGGCGGACGGGUGAGUAACACGUGGGUAACCUGCCUGUAAGACUGGGAUAACUCCGGGAAACCGGGGCUAAUACCGGAUGCUUGUUUGAACCGCAUGGUUCAAACAUAAAAGGUGGCUUCGGCUACCACUUACAGAUGGACCCGCGGCGCAUUAGCUAGUUGGUGAGGUAACGGCUCACCAAGGCAACGAUGCGUAGCCGACCUGAGAGGGUGAUCGGCCACACUGGGACUGAGACACGGCCCAGACUCCUACGGGAGGCAGCAGUAGGGAAUCUUCCGCAAUGGACGAAAGUCUGACGGAGCAACGCCGCGUGAGUGAUGAAGGUUUUCGGAUCGUAAAGCUCUGUUGUUAGGGAAGAACAAGUACCGUUCGAAUAGGGCGGUACCUUGACGGUACCUAACCAGAAAGCCACGGCUAACUACGUGCCAGCAGCCGCGGUAAUACGUAGGUGGCAAGCGUUGUCCGGAAUUAUUGGGCGUAAAGGGCUCGCAGGCGGUUCCUUAAGUCUGAUGUGAAAGCCCCCGGCUCAACCGGGGAGGGUCAUUGGAAACUGGGGAACUUGAGUGCAGAAGAGGAGAGUGGAAUUCCACGUGUAGCGGUGAAAUGCGUAGAGAUGUGGAGGAACACCAGUGGCGAAGGCGACUCUCUGGUCUGUAACUGACGCUGAGGAGCGAAAGCGUGGGGAGCGAACAGGAUUAGAUACCCUGGUAGUCCACGCCGUAAACGAUGAGUGCUAAGUGUUAGGGGUUUCCGCCCCUUAGUGCUGCAGCUAACGCAUUAAGCACUCCGCCUGGGGAGUACGGUCGCAAGACUGAAAACCUCAAA